GACAGAGGUGCCGAGCGUUAGGCGGAAUCACUGGGCUUAAAGCGUGUGUAGGCGGAUCGUUAAGUACCUUGUGAAAUCCCACGGCUCAACCGUGGAACUGCUGGGUAUACUGGCGGUCUUGAGCCACCUAGGGGCAACUGGAACAAGCGGUGGAGCGGUGAAAUGCGUAGAUAUCGCUUGGAACGCCAACGGUGAAAACAGGUUGCUGGGGGUCGUGCUGACGCUGAGACACGAAAGCCAGGGGAGCGAACGGG
rnacentral:rRNA from 1 species